UACGUAGGGUGCAAGCGUUAAUCGGAAUUACUGGGCGUAAAGCGUGCGCAGGCGGUUGUGCAAGACAGAUGUGAAAUCCCCGGGCUUAACCUGGGAAUGGCAUUGGUGACUGCACGGCUAGAGUGUGUCAGAGGGGGGUAGAAUUCCACGUGUAGCAGUGAAAUGCGUAGAGAUGUGGGAGGAACACCGAUGGCGAAGGCAGCCUCCUGGGCCAACACUGACGCUCAUGCACGAAAGCGUGGGAG
rnacentral:rRNA from 1 species